GGGUUGUGAGGUUAAGCGACUAAGCGUACACGGUGGAUGCCCUGGCAGUCAGAGGCGAUGAAGGACGUGCUAAUCUGCGAUAAGCGUCGGUAAGGUGAUAUGAACCGUUAUAACCGGCGAUUUCCGAAUGGGGAAACCCAGUGUGUUUCGACACACUAUCAUUAACUGAAUCCAUAGGUUAAUGAGGCGAACCGGGGGAACUGAAACAUCUAAGUACCCCGAGGAAAAGAAAUCAACCGAGAUUCCCCCAGUAGCGGCGAGCGAACGGGGAGCAGCCCAGAGCCUGAAUCAGUGUGUGUGUUAGUGGAAGCGUCUGGAAAGGCGCGCGAUACAGGGUGACAGCCCCGUACACAAAAAUGCACAUGCUGUGAGCUCGAUGAGUAGGGCGGGACACGUGGUAUCCUGUCUGAAUAUGGGGGGACCAUCCUCCAAGGCUAAAUACUCCUGACUGACCGAUAGUGAACCAGUACCGUGAGGGAAAGGCGAAAAGAACCCCGGCGAGGGGAGUGAAAAAGAACCUGAAACCGUGUACGUACAAGCAGUGGGAGCACGCUUCGGCGUGUGACUGCGUACCUUUUGUAUAAUGGGUCAGCGACUUAUAUUCUGUAGCAAGGUUAACCGAAUAGGGGAGCCGAAGGGAAACCGAGUCUUAACUGGGCGUUAAGUUGCAGGGUAUAGACCCGAAACCCGGUGAUCUAGCCAUGGGCAGGUUGAAGGUUGGGUAACACUAACUGGAGGACCGAACCGACUAAUGUUGAAAAAUUAGCGGAUGACUUGUGGCUGGGGGUGAAAGGCCAAUCAAACCGGGAGAUAGCUGGUUCUCCCCGAAAGCUAUUUAGGUAGCGCCUCGUGAAUUCAUCUCCGGGGGUAGAGCACUGUUUCGGCAAGGGGGUCAUCCCGACUUACCAACCCGAUGCAAACUGCGAAUACCGGAGAAUGUUAUCACGGGAGACACACGGCGGGUGCUAACGUCCGUCGUGAAGAGGGAAACAACCCAGACCGCCAGCUAAGGUCCCAAAGUCAUGGUUAAGUGGGAAACGAUGUGGGAAGGCCCAGACAGCCAGGAUGUUGGCUUAGAAGCAGCCAUCAUUUAAAGAAAGCGUAAUAGCUCACUGGUCGAGUCGGCCUGCGCGGAAGAUGUAACGGGGCUAAACCAUGCACCGAAGCUGCGGCAGCGACGCUUAUGCGUUGUUGGGUAGGGGAGCGUUCUGUAAGCCUGUGAAGGUGUGCUGUGAGGCAUGCUGGAGGUAUCAGAAGUGCGAAUGCUGACAUAAGUAACGAUAAAGCGGGUGAAAAGCCCGCUCGCCGGAAGACCAAGGGUUCCUGUCCAACGUUAAUCGGGGCAGGGUGAGUCGACCCCUAAGGCGAGGCCGAAAGGCGUAGUCGAUGGGAAACAGGUUAAUAUUCCUGUACUUGGUGUUACUGCGAAGGGGGGACGGAGAAGGCUAUGUUGGCCGGGCGACGGUUGUCCCGGUUUAAGCGUGUAGGCUGGUUUUCCAGGCAAAUCCGGAAAAUCAAGGCUGAGGCGUGAUGACGAGGCACUACGGUGCUGAAGCAACAAAUGCCCUGCUUCCAGGAAAAGCCUCUAAGCAUCAGGUAACAUCAAAUCGUACCCCAAACCGACACAGGUGGUCAGGUAGAGAAUACCAAGGCGCUUGAGAGAACUCGGGUGAAGGAACUAGGCAAAAUGGUGCCGUAACUUCGGGAGAAGGCACGCUGAUAUGUAGGUGAAGUCCCUCGCGGAUGGAGCUGAAAUCAGUCGAAGAUACCAGCUGGCUGCAACUGUUUAUUAAAAACACAGCACUGUGCAAACACGAAAGUGGACGUAUACGGUGUGACGCCUGCCCGGUGCCGGAAGGUUAAUUGAUGGGGUUAGCCGCAAGGCGAAGCUCUUGAUCGAAGCCCCGGUAAACGGCGGCCGUAACUAUAACGGUCCUAAGGUAGCGAAAUUCCUUGUCGGGUAAGUUCCGACCUGCACGAAUGGCGUAAUGAUGGCCAGGCUGUCUCCACCCGAGACUCAGUGAAAUUGAACUCGCUGUGAAGAUGCAGUGUACCCGCGGCAAGACGGAAAGACCCCGUGAACCUUUACUAUAGCUUGACACUGAACAUUGAGCCUUGAUGUGUAGGAUAGGUGGGAGGCUUUGAAGUGUGGACGCCAGUCUGCAUGGAGCCGACCUUGAAAUACCACCCUUUAAUGUUUGAUGUUCUAACGUUGACCCGUAAUCCGGGUUGCGGACAGUGUCUGGUGGGUAGUUUGACUGGGGCGGUCUCCUCCUAAAGAGUAACGGAGGAGCACGAAGGUUGGCUAAUCCUGGUCGGACAUCAGGAGGUUAGUGCAAUGGCAUAAGCCAGCUUGACUGCGAGCGUGACGGCGCGAGCAGGUGCGAAAGCAGGUCAUAGUGAUCCGGUGGUUCUGAAUGGAAGGGCCAUCGCUCAACGGAUAAAAGGUACUCCGGGGAUAACAGGCUGAUACCGCCCAAGAGUUCAUAUCGACGGCGGUGUUUGGCACCUCGAUGUCGGCUCAUCACAUCCUGGGGCUGAAGUAGGUCCCAAGGGUAUGGCUGUUCGCCAUUUAAAGUGGUACGCGAGCUGGGUUUAGAACGUCGUGAGACAGUUCGGUCCCUAUCUGCCGUGGGCGCUGGAGAACUGAGGGGGGCUGCUCCUAGUACGAGAGGACCGGAGUGGACGCAUCACUGGUGUUCGGGUUGUCAUGCCAAUGGCACUGCCCGGUAGCUAAAUGCGGAAGAGAUAAGUGCUGAAAGCAUCUAAGCACGAAACUUGCCCCGAGAUGAGUUCUCCCUGACUCCUUGAGAGUCCUGAAGGAACGUUGAAGACGACGACGUUGAUAGGCCGGGUGUGUAAGCGCAGCGAUGCGUUGAGCUAACCGGUACUAAUGAACCGUGAGGCUUAACCUUACAACGCCGAAG
rnacentral:rRNA from 2 species